GAACUGAGAGACAGCAAUGGACAAUCAAUCAUAUUACAGGGACAGUUCCUGAAAUUCUGGCUAUCAUGUCACUGAUCAACAUGAUUGCACUGUUUCUAGGGAUUGGCACAAUAUUAAAUGUCAAAAGAAUGGCUCACAGUAUGACCAGAGAGCAGUUGGGAAAAGGCAUGCUUUUGCAUGAGGAAAUUGAGUAGGCUGAAGAAGCAACAAGCCACAGAAUAGCAAUAGAAAUCCUCAUUAGCAUGUCGUGGAGAGAACAUUCUACAAGAUUCAUCUCUUCUGUGUAAAUUCAUAAUGAAGGAAAAUAAGUUCUAGGAAGAGAAAAGCACACAGGAAUAAGAGGUGACAGACAGCCGGUACAAGAGGAAAAUGAAAGCAAGGGGCAUAGAACAUGAGGGAAUAUUCUGACUAGACUACUGAAAGAUGAAAGCAGUUUUUCACAGGAGCUCAGAAGACAGGAAAGCAUUCAGAACAGGUGAAUGGAGAAGAAAAACAGCACAACAUAAAGAACUAAAUACAAAGCUGAAAGAGGAGGACCUAAAGAGGGACAGAGUGGAGCAGAGGAAGACCUAAUUAGGGUCAGAGAGGAGCAGAGGGAAAGAGGAAGACCUAAAGUGUGUCAGAGAGGAGCAGAGGGAAAGAGAAAGAGGAGGACCUGAAGAGGGACAGAGGAGGAGGAGCAGAGGGAAAGAGGAGGACCUAGAGGGACAGAUCGGAGCAGAGGAGGACCUAGAGAGGAGCAGAGGGAAAGAGGAGGACCUAAAGAGGGUCAGAGGAGCAGAGGGAAAGAGGAGGACCUAAAGAGGGACAGAGGAGGACCUGAAGAGGGUCAGAGGAGCAGAGGGAAAGAGGAGGACCUAAAGAGGGUCAGAGGAGCAGAGGGAAAGAGGAGGACCUAAAGAGGGACAGAGGAGGACCUGAAGAGGGUCAGAGGAGCAGAGGGAAAGAGGAGGACCUAAAGAGGGUCAGAGGAGCAGAGGGAAAGAGGAGGACCUAAAGAGGGACAGAGGAGGACCUGAAGAGGGUCAGAGGAGCAGAGGGAAAGAGGAGGACCUAAAGAGGGUCAGAGGAGCAGAGGGAAAGAGGAGGACCUAAAGAGGGACAGAGGAGGACCUGAAGAGGGACAGAGACGAGCAGAGGGAAAGAGGAGGACCUGAAGAGGGACAGAGGAGCAGAUGGAAAGAGGAGGACCUGAAGAGGGACAGAGGAGCAGAGGGAAAGAGGAGGACCUGAAGAGGGACAGAGGAGCAGAGGGAAAGAGGAUGACCUGAAGAGGGACAGAGGAGCAGAGGGAAAGAGGAUGACCUGAAGAGGGACAGAGGAGCAGAGGGAAAGAGGAGGACCUGAAGAGGGACAGAGGAGC
ensembl:lncRNA